rnacentral:tRNA from 1 species
GGCCGGUUAGCUCAGUUGGUCAGAGCGUGGUGCUAAUAAUGCUGAGGUCAUGGGUUCAGUCCCCAUACUGGCCA